CAACCUGUGAGACUCAAACUGGGGGCUCUUUUGGAUUUUCAUCGGAAGAAAAGUGCCGCCAGGUUUUGAGUGUCACCGGUUG
rnacentral:pre_miRNA from 1 species